CCCACCAAAGAUCAUCGAUCAUCAAGAUGAUAUUUGUGAGUCUCAAAUUCACCAGUGACACCUAGCAGUAUGUAGUGGCAACCCAGUAGAAUAAAAGAUUAAUCUCUAGGUGCAGUUAGCAUAUGAUACAGUCCCUAUAUCGUGAGUCCCGAUCAGAUGACAGGUCAUGGAUGAAUCGUCAAACCUCAACAUCGGUCAUAUGAUAGAUUCAAUCAGCUCGAGUCCAUAUGUGACUCUAUAGAAACUCUUUUCCAUCAAUCAUAAUACUAUGGCCAUAGACUUAAGGACUCAGCCUCUUAAAUUCCAUAGGACCUCUCCCUUCUACUAGGGUCAAUAGAUUCC
rnacentral:lncRNA from 1 species